GAUGAAGAACGUAGCGAAAUGCGAUAAGUAGUGUGAAUUGCAGAAUUCAGUGAAUCAUCGAAUCUUUGAACGCACAUUGCGCCCUUCGGUAUUCCGUUGGGCAUGCCUGUUCGAGCGUCAUUAGAAACUUCAAGCUCAGCUUGGUGUUGGGUGCUUGUCCCCGCCCGCGGCGGACUCACCUCAAAUGCAUUGGCGGCCGGUAUGUUGGCUACAGCGCAGUACAACGCGUCUGGCGUCUUGACAUACGGGUCCUCCAGAAGCCCCUUCUUUGACUUGACCUCGGAUCAGGUAGGGAUACCCGCUGAACUUAAGCAUAUCAAUAAGCGGAGGA
rnacentral:misc_RNA from 1 species